rnacentral:rRNA from 1 species
UACAGAGGUGGCAAGCGUUGUUCGGAAUUACUGGGCGUAAAGCGCGCGUAGGCGGCCUUCUAAGUCAGACGUGAAAUCCCCCGGCUUAACCUGGGAACUGCGUCUGAUACUGGAGGGCUUGAGUAUGGUAGAGGGAUGUAGAAUUCCAGGUGUAGCGGUGAAAUGCGUAGAUAUCUGGAGGAAUACCGGUGGCGAAGGCGGCAGCCUGGACCAUUACUGACGCUGAGGCGCGAAAGCUAGGGGAGCAAACGGG